GCCAAAUAAUUUAACUUGGGAGUCAGAAUGUGGGUGAUAAGGUCCAUAUUCGAAAGGGAAACAGCCCAGACCACCAGCUAAGGUCCCAAAAUAUAUGUUAAGUGGAAAAGGAUGUGGCGUUGCCCAGACAACUAGGAUGUUGGCUUAGAAGCAGCCAUCAUUUAAAGAGUGCGUAAUAGCUCACUAGUCGAGUGACACUGCGCCGAAAAUGUACCGGGGCUAAACAUAUUACCGAAGCUGUGGAUUGUCCUUUGGACAAUGGUAGGAGAGCGUUCUAAGGGCGUUGAAGCAUGAUCGCAAGGACAUGUGGAGCGCUUAGAAGUGAGAAUGCCGGUGUGAGUAGCGAAAGACGGGUGAGAAUCCCGUCCACCGAUUGACUAAGGUUUCCAGAGGAAGGCUCGUCCGCUCUGGGUUAGUCGGGUCCUAAGCUGAGGCCGACAGGCGUAGGCGAUGGAUAACAGGUUGAUAUUCCUGUACCACCAUUAUUCGUUUUAAGCGAUGGGGGGACGCAGUAGGAUAGGCGAAGCGUGCUGUUGGAGUGCACGUCCAAGCAGUGAGAUUGAGUGUUAGGCAAAUCCGGCACUCUUAAGAUUGAG
rnacentral:rRNA from 1 species